rnacentral:tRNA from 1 species
AAAGAAAUAUUGUAUUAAAAGCUUCUAACUUUUAAAAAGCACUAACCUGUUUAU